UAAUCUCAGCCUGGUGGAUUUGGGAGUGUUCACUGGUGCCAAAUUCUUUCUCAAUUUCAUAUAUGUUCUCCUAAUGAUAUUAUUACUCUCUUAAAUCUAGAACAUGCCUUUCAUGUCAACAAAAGACCUGAAGCAUGAACUAAUCAUAACUUUGGCAUAUAUUAGAUCUCUGUUAUACAUAACUUAAUUUACUGUAAUGGUGAUGAUGUUGGUAAUUCAUGGAGCAGUAAAUUAUGUUUUGAGGGAAUAAAGCAAGCCUUGGUACUUAGAAUUAAUUACUAAACUGUACGGAGACAUUGAUGAAUAAGCAUGACUUAGUUUUGUAUAGUUUUAGACCAUCAGUUUACCCUUCACUUCGAUCUUCUCUCCCUUCCCUGUUCUUUUCUUUGGUUUUGUUGCCAGAUUUCAUGAUUAGAUUGCAAACUUUAGAUUAUUGUUUAUGUAGAAUUUAUAAUGCUGAUACUGUGUCUAGCUCUUCUACACAAUUAUAUCAACUUGCCUCUUUCUAUUGCUUCAGGUCAUAAAAGAUGUCUCACUUUUAUCUAGGUGGAUAACUAUUGAUCUAUAUAUUCGAGAAGUUGAUAGCAUGAAAUUUGAACUAUCCAUGAAUAGGUGCAGCGAUAGCUUGUCAAAACUGGAGCAAGGUGCUUGCCCAUUUUGUGGUGUUUAGUCUAUGAUAGGUCACUGCUCAGGUGCUUUUGGGGGUUUGGAAGCUAAUGGUAGAGUGAAAUCCAUACAACCAGGAUGGCUCCAUCAUUCCCUAAACCAAUCUGUUGUCCAUAUCAAAGAAGAGUUCCAGCUGUGGGAGGAAGAGUCUUAGAUGUUUACAUUUUGAUGGGUACAUCUGUAAUUUUUU